GAUGAACGCUGGCGGCGUGCCUAAUACAUGCAAGUCGAGCGAACGGACGAGAAGCUUGCUUCUCUGAUGUUAGCGGCGGACGGGUGAGUAACACGUGGAUAACCUACCUAUAAGACUGGGAUAACUUCGGGAAACCGGAGCUAAUACCGGAUAAUAUUUUGAACCGCAUGGUUCAAAAGUGAAAGACGGUCUUGCUGUCACUUAUAGAUGGAUCCGCGCUGCAUUAGCUAGUUGGUAAGGUAACGGCUUACCAAGGCAACGAUGCAUAGCCGACCUGAGAGGGUGAUCGGCCACACUGGAACUGAGACACGGUCCAGACUCCUACGGGAGGCAGCAGUAGGGAAUCUUCCGCAAUGGGCGAAAGCCUGACGGAGCAACGCCGCGCGAGUGAUGAAGGUCUUCGGAUCGUAAAACUCUGUUAUUAGGGAAGAACAUAUGUGUAAGUAACUGUUCACAUCUUGACGGUACCUAAUCAGAAAGCCACGGCUAACUACGUG
rnacentral:rRNA from 1 species